UCAUUUAGUGAGUCAUUAACAUUUGAAUGUCAAGAAAUGUAUGUAAAACUAUUGAUUUUCUGUGUAUUGGUUCAUCCCAUAGGUAGUCUAAGCCUAAACUGAAACCAGUAGUCAAGCAGAACCACCAUAGCAAUAAUGGGGGAAACCCACAAAUUUUAUUGACAUUGUUUUAAUUUCAACACAUAUGUUUGUUUUGUGUAAUUCUGCAGAGUAUGAUUUUAUUUGUUCUUUAGACAAUAUAGUUAUUUUGAAUAGCAUUUGGGAAAAGAAUAAAAAAAUAAGUCUUUGGAGAUUUGGGAUCUAUGAAGUACUUAGUCUGAGCUCCAUUUCCAUUACUUUUAAUAACUGAAAGACCACAGCCACAUUGAGCUGAACUUCCCUAUUGUCAGGACCCAACAAAGUGUUCACAGCUCCUGCUGCUUUUGGCUUUCCCAUGCUCCUCUGCUCUAAGGCCACUUACUCAUUCGCCUACUUUGCAUGCAUUGCAUUUCAGUUGAGCUUUACAAAAACCAGUAAGAAUUUCUACUUACUCUUUCGACCUUUUAGGUACUCAGGGUCAACAAGGACUACUCCAUCUGCAGAGAGAGGAAGAGAUGGCAUACUGCUCAGGAAAAUUUGAGCUCUUUCCCGCUUUGGACUCACUAACCAAUGGGCUCCACUGUGUCCACAUCAUCCACGAAGUCUCGUUUCCCCAGGUAGAUGGAAAACUGUUGUGGAACAACUUGCUAGAUGGGCCAGGUUCUCUUACCUUCCCAUUGGAGCUAGUCUUUUUAAACACUCUAUGGUGCGAGCAGUCAUAAAGAAGAAGGAUGGUCAGUCAACAGAACAGGAAAGAGGAGAGAAAAGAAGAAAAGAAAGGUAAGUUUGGGGAACAGGAAAACUUCCUAGGAUUGGAAGAAGCCAGAGAUCAUGAGCCAGAGUAAAGGUAGAGAU